rnacentral:rRNA from 1 species
AGUUCGAUUCUGGCUCAGAUUGAACGCUGGCGGGAUGCUUUACACAUGCAAGUCGAACGGCAGCACGGACUUCGGUCUGGUGGCGAGUGGCGAACGGGUGAGUAAUGUAUCCGGAACGUGCCUAGUAGCGGGGGAUAACUACGCGAAAGCGUAGCUAAUACCGCAUACGCCCUUCGGGGAAAGCGGGGGACCUUCGGGCCUCGCACUAUUAGAGCGGCCGAUAUCGGAUUAGCUAGUUGGUGGGGUAACGGCUCACCAAGGCGACGAUCCGUAGCUGGUUUGAGAGGACGACCAGCCACACUGGGACUGAGACACGGCCCGAACUCCUACAGGAGGCAGCAGUGGGGAAUUUUGGACAAUGGGGGAAACCCUGAUCCAGCCAUCCCGCGUGUGCGAUGAAGGCCUUCGGGUUGUAAAGCACUUUUUGGCAGGAAGAAACGGCACGGGAUACCCCGUGCAACUGACGGUACCUGCAGAAUAACACCGGCUAACUUCGUGCCAGCAGCCGCGCGGUAAUACGUAGGGUGCAAGCGUUAAUCGGAAUUACUGGGCGUAAAGCGUGCGCAGGCGGUUCGGAAGAAAGAUGUGAAAUCCCAGAGCUUAACUUUGGAACUGCAUUUUUUUAACUACCGAGCUAGAGUGUGUCAGAGGGAGGUGGAAUUCCGCGAUGUAGCAGUGAAAUGCGUAGAUAUGCGGAGGAACACCGAUGGCGAAGGCAGCUCUGGGACAACACUGACGCUCAUGCACGAAAGCGUGGGGAGCAAACAGGAUUAGAUACCCUGGUAGUCCGCCUAAACGAUGUCAACUAGCUGUUGGGGCCUUCGGGCCUUGGUAGCGCAGCUAACGCGUGAAGUUGACCGCCUGGGGAGUACGGUCGCAAGAUUAAAACUCAAAGGAAUUGACGGGGACCCGCACAAGCGGUGGAUGAUGUGGAUUAAUUCGAUGCAACGCGAAAAACCACCUACACGCCAACUAUGUCACAGAUCCCGAAGAGAUUUAGGUGCUCGCAAGAGAACCGGAACACAGGUGCUGCAUGGCUGUCGUCAGCUCGUGUCGUGAGAUGUUGGGUUAAGUCCCGCAACGAGCGCAACCCUUGUCAUUAGUUGCUACGAAAGGGCACUCUAAUGAGACUGCCGGUGACAAACCGGAGGAAGGUGGGGAUGACGUCAAGUCCUCAUGGCCCUUAUGGGUAGGGCUUCACACGUCAUACAAUGGUCGGGACAGAGGGUCGCCAACCCGCGAGGGGGAGCCAAUCCCAGAAACCCGAUCGUAGUCCGGAUCAUGAUCUGCAACUCGACUGCGUGAAGUCGGAAUCGCUAGUAAUCGCGGAUCAGCAUGUCGCGGUGAAUACGUUCCCGGGUCUUGUACACACCGCCCACGUCACACCAUGGGAGUGGGUUUUACCAGAAGUAGUUAGCCUAACCGUAAGGAGGGCGAUUACCACGGUAGGAUUCAUGACUGGGGUGAAGUCGUAACAAGGUAG